rnacentral:lncRNA from 1 species
AAAAAAAACAGACAUUCUAUGAUCAGACAUUGAACCAGAUAAAAAAAACAGAGAAAAAUAUCAACAGUGAAAACAUCAAAAUACAAGAAAAAAACAGAGUGAAUACAACAGAGAAGAAAAAUAAAUAAGAGAAAAGGUUGUGAUUCGUGUCUCAUAUUUCCGCUCAAUAUUUCGGUGACAUCUUGCUUUUGUAUUCAAUUAAAGUUGACUUACAGAUUUUAUUUCAAUCACAUCUCAUUUUUGUUGUAAGUUUACUGUAGAAAAGUAUGAAUGAAAGUGUUCAAGUGAUUUGUUCUGCAUUAUUUAGCGUAUGGAGUUGAAUAUCUGAAUUAUUGUUAUUUGUUAUGCAAUUGUGUUACUGAAUAUUGAUAUAUUUGUACACUAAUUCAUUCACACACUAUAUCAAACACCCAUCAGCCGCUGCUGCCGUCAAAAUCUGCCGAAAAACGAUGUCAUCCGUUUCUAUUGUUCCUAAAACAUGAAGAAAAAAUUUAAAUGUAUAUAUUUUCUUUCAAAAAAAGAUAAUAAUUAUUUACUAUUAGUUAAAUGGUAGUACAAACAAUUUAAUUUUAAUUUUUCCUUUUCAAUAAUAUUAAUUCCACAUCAUUUUUUGCAAAUUGGCUAUUAAAAUAUUAGUUUUUAGGUAGUUUUAGGGAAUCUGUAUUUUGCUUUUACUAGGAAUUAUAUUAAUCUCCUAAUGUGACAAUAUCUCUAAUACUUAUCAACGCGGUGAUUAAAUUAUGACAUUAGUUUGAAUCUUUAUUAUUUUAAACAAUCGUAUU